GCCGGACUCCUACGGGAGGCAGCAGUGGGGAAUAUUGCACAAUGGGGGAAACCCUGAUGCAGCGACGCCGCGUGAGCGAUGAAGUAUUUCGGUAUGUAAGGCUCUAUCAGCAGGGAAGAAAAUGACGGUACCUGACUAAGAAGCCCCGGCUAACUACGUGCCAGCAGCCGCGGUAAUACGUAGGGGGCGAGCGUUAUCCGGAUUUACUGGGUGUAAAGGGAGCGUAGACGGUUCUGCAAGUCUGAAGUGAAAGCCCGUGGCUUAACCGCGGAACGGCUUUGGAAACUGUGGAACUGGAGUGCUGGAGAGGCAAGCGGAAUUCCUAGUGUAGCGGUGAAAUGCGUAGAUAUCAGGAGGAACACCGGCGGCGAAGGCGGCCUGCUGGACCGCGACUGACGUUGAGGCUCGAAAGCGUGGGGAGCAAACAGGAUUAGAUACCCUCGUA
rnacentral:rRNA from 1 species